AUGACUCUCACUUCAUGCUAGCUCUGUGCCUGGAGAAAAUUUUCUGAGCACAAAGAGGUAGAAUGCAACCAGAAAGAAAACUGUGGCCCUACUGAACUGAGGAAGAAGAGGUCAGAGUUCUGGAAUCAGAAAGAGCAAGUAGGAAGGGUGCUGCACCUAAGGACUCUAGAUCCUUGGUUUGGGACUGGGCCUCACACAUGUAAUGUGAGGCUCUUGAGACUGAGGAGGACUGCUGUUCGGUCAGGAUCAGAAGGAAUAUGCUAGAGUUCAAGCCACCAUGCAAGAUCCGUGAGCAACUCCUUAGGUGAAUUGUGAAAGACAGCCAGGUAUACUCUUUGCUAUUGCAAAUGGUUUGAUCACGACCCUCAUUCUUUCGGCCUGUAACAUCAUAGGACCAAGAUUUAUGCUUAGAAAAUUCCUUCCAGUCUUGACGAUUCCUUCAACCUACACAGUGACCAACCUCAUCUCCUCCAAAUUUCAGGUUGUGCUGCAGCCUAAUCAAUCAGCAAUCUGAAUAAAAAUAAAACUGGAAAGUUAUCCUUUCCAAUCACCA
rnacentral:lncRNA from 1 species